GAGGCUGCUGGUCCUCCUAUAGGGUCGCCCUCCUCCUCAGUUUCCUCCAUCUUUUCCCUAAUUCACCCACAGUGAUCAGCAGCUUCUGUCCUCUGGUCGGGUGCGCAUAUCUGCAUCUGACUCCUUCAUCUGCUUGUUGGGUCUUUUGGAGAGCAGUCACGAUGGGUCCCUUUUUUGUGAGUGCCCCAAUAGCUUCAAUAAUAAUGUCGGGCCUUGGGACCUCCCCUUGAGCUAGAUCCCAAUUUGGGUUAGUUGCUGGACCUUCUUUUCCUCAGGUUUUUCUCCAUUUAUAUCCCUGCAGUUCUUUCCAACAGGAACAAUUAUGGGUCAGAGUUUUUUACUGUGGGAUGGCAACCCCAUCCCUCAGUUAAUGCCCUGUCUUUCUGCUGAAGGUGGACUCUACAAAUUCCCUCUCCCCACUGCAGGGCAUUUCAUCCAAGAUUCCUUCCUUUGAGUCCUGAGAGUCUCUGACCUGUCUUUGGUGCAUUCUGGAGGGUCCCCCACCUACCUCCCAAAAUUGCCUAUUUCCAUUCUUUCUGCUGGCCCUCAGGGCUUCAUUCCUGUUUCCUCACCCAAUACCUGAUCGUGUUCUCUUCCUCCCCUUCUUCCUGUUCUCUUUCCCACCCAGGUCCCUCCCUCCCCCUUUGUGGUUGCUUUCUUCUCCCCACAAGUGGGAUUGAGGCAUCCUCACUUGGGCUGUUCGGCUUGUUAACCUUCUUGAGUUCUGUAGAUUGUAUCCUGGGUAUUAUGUUCAUUUUUUGGCUAAUAUCCACUUAUUAAUGAGUACAUACUAUACAUGUCCUUUUGGGUCUGAGUUACCUCACUCAGGAUGCUAUUUUCUAAUUCCAUCCAUUUGCCUGCAAAACUUAGGAAGUCCUCAUUCUUAAAGCUGAGUAGUAAUCCAUUGUGUAAAUGAACCACAUUUUCUGUAUCCAUUCUUCUGUUGUGGGACAUCACUAUAGUGUGUGUUCAUAGAUUUAAGUUUUAGUCUUGUUAUUAAAGAAAAUAUAUUGGCUAUUAGCUAAGUAAAGGUAACCAUAUUUUCUGGUAUGUCCUUCUGCUCAAAAAUGCCUCUAGGGACUGGGAAUAUGACUCGAUUGGUAACCCACAUGCCUACAUGACCAAGUAUAGCAUAAACUGGAUUUGUAGAGAAGUCUGUGGUCCUACCACAUGGAAGACAGAGGCAGGAAGUUCAGAAGUUUCAAAGUCAUUCUCAGCUACAUAUCUCUGGCAUCAAGUUCAGCCUUGGGUACAUAAAACCCUGUCCCCCAAAAAAGAAAAGCUUUCAGAGUCUCAGCACUGGUUCAUCUCUUUAGAUAUUUUAGAACCAAACUAAGGUGACCUCAGAGGCCUCUCUUGGCUGACUUCUUGGACAGAUGCCCUCCAGCUGGCAUUCACUGUCCUUGAGAACAUCUAUGAAGAUAACUUACAUGUUUGGCUUUAUACCUAUUGCUUCAUAAAGUAUAUUUCCACACCAAAACCAUUCAUAAGAAACUUGGUUAACCAUAGGAUGGUAAAAUAUGCAUAAAACUGUUAAAAUCAUGCUGAACAAAUAGGAUAAUGAAUACAUGGAGACACAUUAUAAACUAUUAUAUCAUAAAAAUAAAGUAGACAAAUAUACCACUCUGAAAUACAGUAUGGAAAGGAGGAAUUUAACAAUUCUAAAGUUGAAAUUGGAGAUUUAUCUUAGUGGGAGAAUCCUUGCUUAGCAGAAAUGAAACCCUGGAUUCAAUCUAUAGCACAAAGUAAAAUAAAGUAAAAGAUGAUAAGUAGAGUUGAGGGUGUGGCAGCUGGUAUAGUCCUCUCCCAGCAAGCAGAGCCCUGGGUUCAGCCUCUAGCACUGACAAAAGCAAAGAAACAAAAGUUAAUAGAGGGUGGGAAGUGUAGACUAAUAGUAGAGCAGUACUUGCCUACUAUGUGUGAGUUGUGGGUUCAAUUCCCAGUACCACCUCCCAAAUAUAUUAGUUGAAUAUGCACACAUGAUGUCAUUUGCUGAACAAGGAAGAAUAAGAUAACGACUUUUAAAGGUGGGUGUAACACAGAGCACAGUGAUUAAUACGUUUACCUUUAUAAAGUUAAUCAGCAUCCGUUCACUCUGUGCUUGUGUCUUCAUCUGCUUUCAGAAAGUCCUUCAUGUUCAGCUCCCACAGGGAUCUACUUGUGCUAAGAUUUUUCAAUUGCCUUUCUUAAGCCAGAAGAUGUGAUGAGAGACUUGUUCAGGGACAGUUUUUAGUAUCAAUGAAAUUCUUUGAGGAACGUUACAACCCCAUGAUGCCACUGCCUGUUAAUGAGGAUGAGUUAAUUAUCUUCUAUCUGCCUGUAGAAGAUUAAGAUCUGCUGCUGUGACCAAGAGAGAAAGCAGAAAUGAAGACGCUUUGACUGUGACUGGACUCUGGCUCUGACCCUGACUGGACUCUGACUGUGACUGGACUCUAGCUUCUGUGCUGCGGUUUUGUCUGUACACCAUGUCCUCCAGUCACCCUCACGGUGCUUCAGACUGCACACGCUCUAAGUAAAAGUCACCAGAGUUCUUGUAUCCCAUAAUUCCAUAAGCCCCAAAAGAAAGUAAUGGCCACUCACCUUCUCAUUGUUUCUGAUUGUCUGUUGGUGGCCAUUUGUUGUUGAAUCAUGCCAUGCCUGAAAAAUCCAGCCAUUCAGAAUUUUAUCUUCAGUUGUAGGUGACAGAAACCCAAUUCCAACUGUCUUAAAUGUGGGAGUGGAGGUUAUCCGUGAGGGAUUUGUGUAAAUGAACAGGUUAGGUAUGUCUGGUUCACAGUUCAUUUCUGCUUUCACUCUCAGGCAGUUCCUAGACAUGUGACCAUAGGUGGCUCUGACCUUGAAAAUGUAGCAGAAGUGUAGCUUGGUCUUCAUGUGAGUCCUGAACAAAUGGAACAGGGCCUAUCCCAAAAGCUGUUGCCUGUCUGUGGGAUACGUUCUUCUAGCUGGGCUGCCUUGUCUGAUCUCAGUGGGAGAAAAUGUGCCUAGCCUCUCAGAGACUUGAUGUGCCAGCAUGGGGGGAUACCCAAGGCCCCAUCCACUCAGAGGAGAAGUGGAAGGUGGUAGGGAAAGAAUUGACUGUGAGGGGCAGUGAGUAGGAUGCAAAGUAAAUAAGUAAAAAUAUAAUAAAAAAAGACAUUGAGUUUUCUUUUCUGAGAAAAAGAAAUGGCACUUUAGCUCUCUGACCUAAUUCCAGGUUUAUGACAACCUUCAGUCUGUGUCUAGAAACACUGAAUAUUUAAGGAGCAUGCUCACCAUCAGGAAAAUACAUCAUUAAAAAAAAACAAACCACUGCAGUGAGGAAAAGAAACUGGUGAGAGAGGCGCAUCACUGAUAUCUGAGCAAUGAGGGGCACAGGCAAAAGGAAGCCACACCUUCAAGGCUAACUUCACCUGCACAGAGUUUCAGGCCAGCUAAAACUACAUAGUGCCACAGUAGACAGUGUAAACCAAGCACUUGGAAGACUGAGGCAACAUGGCCAUGAGAGUGAAGCGACAUUGGACUACUAUCAAGACCCAUUUUCAAACAAAACAAAACCCUCACAGACAACAAAACCCAAAUGUGGUGGUUUGUAUAUGCUUGAACCAGGGAGUGGCACUAUUAGAAGGUGUGGCCCUGUUGGAGUAGGUGUGUAACUGUGGGCUUUAUGACCCUCACCCUAGCUGCCUGGAAGCCAGUCUUCUCCUAGCAGCCUUCAGAUGAAGAUGUAGAACUCUCAGCUCCUCCUGUACCAUGCCUGCCUGGAUGCUGCCAUGUUCCCAUCUUGAUGAUAAUGAAUUAAACCUCUGAACCUGUAAGCCAGCCUCAAUUAAAUGCUGUCCUUAUAAGAGUUGCCUUGGUCAUGGUGUCUGUUCACAGCAGUAAAAACCCUAACUAAGGCACCAAAGCAACAACAAAUCCCACACAAAACUAUUGCCAGUGUGCAGGCAGAGCUCCAGACCUCUGGAUAUAGCUGGCUGUGAUGCAGCUGCUGCAGCUGCUGAGGGAGGCAGCCUGGCAGCUCUUUAGACAGCGGGAUGGAAUUAAAUGUCCAGCAGUUCAGCUCCUUGGGACAGGAAAAGACGAAACACUUUUUACAGAAAAACGUAAGAAUUCAUUCUCAGCAACAUUAUGCAUAAUAGACAAAAAGGGGAAACAAUCCAAAUACCCAUUAGUAAGUAGGUGGAUAAAAAUGUAGCAGGAUCAUAGGAUAGAUUAUUUGGAAGCCAUUAAAGCAUCAAGUAUACACUUAGUACAUGCUAAGGAACUAAGUUUAACAAGUCAGUCACGAAGAAUAAUACUUCAUAGGGUUCCAUUUACUUGAAGUGUCCAGGAUCAUCAAACCCACAGACAGAGAGUAGAUUACCAACUGCUUAGAGCUGGAGGCAGUAGGAGAAAAUGGAGGCUUGAAUACAGACAUGAAUGAGGGAUUUUGUCGGCAGGUCAUAAUGAUCAUGUUCUAGAACUGUGGUGAUGGGCACGCACCUUGGAAUUACUACAACUACUGAAUUGUAAUAAAGGCUGAAUUUGGUGUGUGUGUAUGUGUGUGUUACAGCACAUAUGUGGAGAUCUGAGGACAACAUUCAGCAAGUGGUUCUGUCAUUCCACCCUCUGAGAUGGUUGUCACUGCUGCCUCAGUCUGAACAUACAGUGAUGUCCCCGACCAUCUCAGCCUGCCCACACUUGCUGAUCCCUCGUUCCCGUUACCGUCUGCUUCGGCCGGGGCAGCAGCGUUAUCUCUUCUCAUUCAAAAUAUUUCUGUCCAGUGUUUGUGGAGAAGCUGUAUAUGUACAUCAGGAAAGUUUCAUUGCUAUUGGUUGUAAAAACAUGAAUUAAAAUCUGGAGCUGGAGAGAGGGCUCAACAGUAAAGAGUACUUGAUACUCUUGUAGAGGACUCCAGUUUGGUUCUCAGCACUCGCAUGAUGCUUUACAACCAUCCAUAACUCCAGUCCUGGGCCUCUGGCACACUCUUCUGACCUCCACAGGCACACAUGUGGUGCACAGACACACAUAUGCAUAAGAUAAAAAUUUUGAAUUAAAACCUUAAAACAUUUAGCAUGUAUCUAUUAUAUUGUCAAAAUACAAUAGAGAAACAGAAA